rnacentral:sRNA from 1 species
UAACACAGUUCACUGACUACUGACCGUUC